GUGGCGGACGGGUGAGUAAUGCUUGGGAAUCUGGCUUAUGGAGGGGGAUAACUACGGGAAACUGUAGCUAAUACCGCGUAGAAUCGAGAGAUGAAAGUGUGGGACCGCAAGGCCACAUGCCAUAAGAUGAGCCCAAGUGGGAUUAGGUAGUUGGUGGGGUAAAGGCCUACCAAGCCGACGAUCUCUAGCUGGUCUGAGAGGAUGACCAGCCACACUGGAACUGAGACACGGUCCAGACUCCUACGGGAGGCAGCAGUGGGGAAUAUUGCGCAAUGGGGGGAACCCUGACGCAGCCAUGCCGCGUGAAUGAAGAAGGCCUUCGGGUUGUAAAGUUCUUUCGGUGAUGAGGAAGGGUGGUGUUUUAAUAGAGCACUACAUUGACGUUAGUCACAGAAGAAGCACCGGCUAACUCCGUGCCAGCAGCCGCGGUAAUACGGAGGGUGCGAGCGUUAAUCGGAAUAACUGGGCGUAAAGGGCACGCAGGCGGUGACUUAAGUGAGAUGUGAAAUCCCCGAGCUUAACUUGGGAACUGCAUUUCAGACUGGGUUGCUAGAGUAUUUUAGGGAGGGGUA
rnacentral:rRNA from 1 species